rnacentral:rRNA from 1 species
AUUGAACGCUGGCGGCAGGCCUAACACAUGCAAGUCGAACGAGUGGCGGACGGGUGAGUAAUGUCUGGGAAACUGCCUGAUGGAGGGGGAUAACUACUGGAAACGGUAGCUAAUACCGCAUACCAUCGGGUGUGCCCCGAUGGGAGUAGCUGGUUGGUGGGGUAACGGCUCUCCAGGGCGACGAUCCCUAGCUGGGCUGAGAGGAUGACGAGCCACACUGGACAGGAGACAAGGCCCAGACUGCUCAGGGAGGCAGGAGUGGGGAAUAUGGGACAUUGGGCGCAAGCCUGAGGAAGCUAGUCCGCGGGUAUCAAGAAGGCCUUGGGGUUGUAAAGUAUGUUCAGCGGGGAGGCGGUACCCGCAGAAGAAGCACCGGCUAACUCCGUGCCAGCAGCCGCGGUAAUAC